rnacentral:rRNA from 1 species
AUGUUUAACGACUUCAUUGCCGACCUUGCCCUCCGGGAGAUUGAUCGGGUUGGGGCCCGUUUUACUUGGACCAACCGCCAAGCCUCCCCGACCCUCUCCGUCUUGGACAGGGUCCUAGUUUCCCCCGAGUGGGACCUCCGGUGCCCCUUAGCCUCUCUUCGUGCCAUCACCCGGAUUGGGUCGGAUCACGUCCCCUUGCUUCUCUCCUCCGCGGACGAGCGUCCUCCGAUCCCCCCUCGGUUCCGCUUUGAGACCUUCUGGCUCUCCCAGGCCGGAUUCUCCGAUGCCGUCAGUGCUCGUUGGAUCGAGGCUCGUGCCCACCCCCACCCCCACCCUCCUUCCGCCAUAGACGCGUGGCACUUCUGUGCGAAGCGUGCCCGGCAAUUUAUGAAGGGGUGGGGAGCCAACCUGGGCCGUGACACCAGGGAGCGUAAGAAGGCGUUGCUGACUGCGAUCCAGGCCCUCGACUUUAGGGCUGACGCGGUCGGUCUCUCUCCGGACGAGUGGUUGUCCCGCUAUGACCUCGAGGACCAGCUCUCCGUGAUCUACACUGAUGAGGAGGCCUAUUGGCGUAUUCGGGGCGCUCAGCGUUGGGUCUUGAAGGGUGAUGCGAAUACGGCUUACUUCCAGGCGAUCGCCAACGGACGUCGUAGACGCAACACCAUCCCCUGCCUUUGGGAUGGAGCCACUCUCCUUCAGGAUCCCCGGGACAUUCGCGCCCAUGUUGAUGGUUUCUAUCAUUCCCUCUUCUCCCCCGCUCCUUGGAGCGGUCUCUCUCUUGCCCUUGACUGCUGGACCGGCGCCCAUCUGGUUUCUGACGAAGAUAAUGCAUCCCUGACGGCCCCCUUCUCUGAACAAGAGGUCUGGGAGGCCAUCAAGGGUAUGAACCCCUCCUCGGCGCCGGGCCCUGACGGUCUUCCGGUUAUCUUCUUCCAGUCCUUCUGGAACGUGAUUAAACCUGAGAUCUUGGCCAUCUUCGAGGAAUUCUUCGUGGGCUCGAUUGACCUUGGCCGCCUCAACUUUGGGACCAUCUCCCUCAUCCCCAAGGUCCCUGGGGCGACGGACAUCCGCCAGUUCCGCCCAAUUACGGUCAUCAACGUGAUCUUCCAGAUCCUGGCCAAGGGGUACGCCAAUAGGGUGACCCUGCUUGCAGACCGGAUUACUCACCCUAACCAAUUUGCGUUCAUUAAGGGCCGGUACAUCCUAGAUGGUGUCCUGGUCCUGCACGAGGUCCUUCAUGAAGUCCGGGUCAAACACCUGAAGGCGGUCUUUCUGAAGAUCGAUUUUCACAAAGCCUAUGACACGGUUAGCUGGUCCUUCCUUAGGGAAGUUCUUCUGUGA